UUAAUACUCUGAAAAUUCAUCCAAUAUUCUAAAAAUUAUUUUAUAUCAGCUCUGAACUUCACCAUGAUGAUUAUAUCCGAUCAAAUAGAGAAUACGACAAUUUCGAACCUUACAGAUUUUGGCUGGAAGUUUGGUCAGAAGUACCAGCAUAUUAACAGCACCAACUGGGUAAACAUCCGGAAUGCAGCUCUGAUUACCGAAGGUUUGAAACUAGUGUUCUUUGUCUCAAUUGUCGUAUUUUUGUUACUGAUGUGCUGCAACGAAUGGAAUCCAUACACUUGUCUUAAAAAUUGUGUGUAUGGUAGAAGUUCCACCAGCAGAAUAUGGUUCGGUAGAGGAAAUCAGCAAGAGCUCGAAGAUCCAGUGAAUGUUGAAGAGGGAAAUCGGACACUUUUGCAUGCUGCUGGAGAUCAUGCUUAAGAUAAACUUCUGAGACCUA